rnacentral:rRNA from 1 species
AUUGAACGCUGGCGGCAGGCCUAACACAUGCAAGUCGAACGGUAACAGGAAGAAGCUUGCUUCUUUGCUGACGAGUGGCGGACGGGUGAGUAAUGUCUGGGAAACUGCCUGAUGGAGGGGGAUAACUACUGGAAACGGUAGCUAAUACCGCAUAACGUCGCAAGACCAAAGAGGGGGACCUUCGGGCCUCCUGCCAUCGGAUGUGCCCAGAUGGGAUUAGCUAGUAGGUGGGGUAACGGCUCACCUAGGCGACGAUCCCUAGCUGGUCUGAGAGGAUGACCAGCCACACUGGAACUGAGACACGGUCCAGACUCCUACGGGAGGCAGCAGUGGGGAAUAUUGCACAAUGGGCGCAAGCCUGAUGCAGCCAUGCCGCGUGUAUGAAGAAGGCCUUCGGGUUGUAAAGUACUUUCAGCGGGGAGGAAGGGAGUAAAGUUAAUACCUUUGCUCAUUGACGUUACCCGCAGAAGAAGCACCGGCUAACUCCGUG